AAGGGUGAAAUCGAUAAUGUUUAAUAUUAAUUGUUUUACUAAAUUUGAAGCUAAAUUUUUUGGGUUUGAACUAGGAUUAGAUACCCUAUUACACCAAAAGGUAAUAAUAAAGGAAGCCUGAUUAUUUAUAGUUAUUUUCUUGAAAAUUGAAGAAUUUGGCGGUGAUUUAGUCUUGUCAGAGGAAUUUGUUUUUUAAUCGAUAAACCACGCAGUAUCUUACUCAAGCUUAUAUACCGUCAUUAUCAGAUAAUCUUACAAAAAGGUAAUUAUUAAACUUUAUAAAUAGUGGAAAUUAGAUCAAGGUGUAGCUAAUAAAUGAGUUAAAAUGAAUUACAAUAAGUUUUAUUUAUAAACGGAUUUAUUAUAAUAAAGGUGGAUUUGAUUGUAAUAAGAGUUUAAUAAGCUUGAAAGAUAUAGGUUCUAAAUCAUGUACAUAUCGCCCGUCGCUUUC
rnacentral:rRNA from 1 species